GCAGCCGCGGUAAUACGGAGGAUCCAAGCGUAUUCCGGAAUCAUGGGUUUAAAAGGGUCCGUAGGCGGUUUAGUAAGUCAGUGGUGAAAGCCCAUCGCUCAACGGUGGAACGGCCAUUGAUACUGCUAAACCUGAAUUAUUAGGAAGUACUAGAAUAUGUUAGUGUAGCGGUGAAAUGCUUAGAGAUUACAUGGAAUACCAAUUGCGAAGGCAGGUUACUACUAAUAUAUUGACGCUGAUGGACGAAAGCGUGGGUAGCGAACAGGAUUAGAUACCCUGGUAGUCCACGCCGUAAACGAUGGAUACUAGCUGUUGGGAGCAAUCUCAGUGGUUAAGCGAAAGUGAUAAGUAUCCCACCUGGGGAGUACGUUCGCAAGAAUGAAACUCAAAGGAAUUGACGGGGGCCCGCACAAGCGGUGGAGCAUGUGGUUAAUUCGAUGUACGCGAGGAACCUUACCAAGGCUUAAAUGUAGUUUGACCGAUUUGGAAACAGAUUUUUCGCAAGACAAAUUACAAGGUGCUGCAUGGUUGUCGUCAGCUCGUGCCGUGAGGUGUCAGGUUAAGUCCUAUAACGAGCGCAACCCCUGUUGUUAGUUGCCAGCGAGUCAUGUCGGGAACUCUAACAAGACUGCCAGUGCAAACUGUGAGGAAGGUGGGGAUGACGUCAAAUCAUCACGGCCCUUACGCCUUGGGCUACACACGUGCUACAAUGGCCGGUACAGAGAGCAGCCACUGGGCGACCAGGAGCGAAUCUAUAAAACCGGUCACAGUUCGGAUCGGAGUCUGCAACUCGACUCCGUGAAGCUGGAAUCGCUAGUAAUCGGAUAUCAGCCAUGAUCCGGUGAAUACGUUCCACGGGCCUUGUACACACCGCCCGUCAAGCCAUGGAAGCUGGGGGUGCCUGAAGUCGGGACCGCAAGG
rnacentral:rRNA from 1 species